UACUUCAUGACAAACUUUUUAAGUGGAACCUCGGCUCUCUCUUUUUUGGUGACUGUUCUCACGUUAUUGUCCCCAUUGACGUCUGUGUGAAUGGUCACCUGAAACCUUUGUCAAAGUAAGCAAGACUUCCACUGAUCCUGGUUCUUGUUCACAGGUAGUUUUUCCUUUAAUGCAGAGCCUUCAGUUUUUUGAAUGAACUUUAAUCACUUUUUGCCCUCAUGGUUUCACAUUUAAUGCAGACAUAAUAUCAUUUGCACAGAAGAGGAAAACUCCCUCCAUAUUUUUCAUUCCUAUUUCAGUUUAAACCUAAUGGCUUCCCUGUUUUGGACAAGGUUGCCUCUACAUGCCUCUCAGAUCAAAAGUGUCCAGCCAAAUUUUCAGAGGGAUCAGCAAGAGUUACCUUUUGAGAAACUGUGAACCAGAUAGCAGAGAACAUAAGAUGAAAAUAUGUUCAUGUUUGUCCACCCAAACAAACUAGAGCAAUGUUUUGAAAUUGCAACAGUGUCUAGACCCUUCAGAAUUAUAUUUCUGUUGAAAAAUUACACUCUUCACCUUAAAGGUUGUAUCAUUUUCCUCUUUUUUUGUGGAUGAGCUCUACUAAAGAUGUUUGCGGGAAGCUGAUGGCUCUAUGCUUGUGUUGUGGUUGUCUGGUUUGUUUAUGACUGGGAGUCUUUCAGAGAACCAGAGGUUUACUGCCUAUCCCAUCAUCCUAUCCAUUCAAUUGGCAAUAAUGCUAACAGCCCUCAUCCAAUUCUAGACCCCUGUGGUUGUGUGUAUGUGUGUGUUUGUGUGUGAGAGAGAGAGGAAGAGAAACCGACCAAGUAGGAUACAGUCUGUUAAGCCAAAAUGUAACCACUCAAAAUACCUAUGAAACAUUAUAGAUAAGUUUUAUUCCAGAUUCCGUUGUUUUUAUUUUUGUUGUAAUGUGUAGACCUGAGCUAUGUGCUUGAAAUAUGAAUUGGUGUUUGAAUCAUGACUGUUUUCUUUUAAAGGCUAUUACACAUUUGUUGUGAAAGCAGUUGCCAAGGGGAUUCACAAUGCCACAGCGUCCCCGAUGUGCUCAUAGACUGAACAAGUGACAGCACUGGUGCACUCAUGAAGCCACCGGGCCCUCAGGUGCCCCCACCCCGCUGUCACAAGCCCAGACAUGUCAGGACCUGGUUUUAAAAAUAACCCCUGCUUGUUAAUCAAGCAAACCCACCCCCAACCACUAUGCCAAAAAGACGCACCGUCCUCCCUUGCCGAUAAUUGUCAACCUGCUCGUCACACACCUUCAUUUACCUUUUUUUUUUUUUAAUGUUAGCAUUUCAUGCAGAUUGGCAGACAGAUGAUUUCUGUGUUUAGCCAGAUAGACUUUAAAAAGACACAGCAGUCAUGUCUCAAAGGAGGCAGACUUGCUAAUAAACGACUGCAAGUUAAAUUUGAAACGCAACGGAACUGCUUUGCCAUGCGCAGCUUGCUUAGAGAUACAACUUCAUUGUUUGCCAAUCUCUUAAUUGGUUAUUGGCCUCAUAGCUCCAUUGAGGAAAACCCACAAUUUUUUUGGUGAGAGGCAGUGGGUGGUAAUUGCAGACACUGUAGCCAUAGAUGUGUCAUUUUAAGGUGUCCACCACAUCUGAGCUGCCUGUUUUGUUUCCCCACCCUUCUCUUUUAGGAAGUGAGCAUUGGUCUACAAUUUCCAGAUCCUAAAAAACCAUCAUGUAGUAUCGAUUCCAAGUGAAAUGGCAAUGCCUGAAUAUUUUAGGCCAUGGUUGGGAUAAUGAGCUCGGCCCUUUAUUCCCAUCGCCUAUCGCUCCUGGUGAUGGAAUUAACUUGAAGCAAGCAGAGCGGAAAUCACUCUCAGCUUUAUGAAUGACAUCCCAGAGGUGGGAACGGAUUAGUCUUCUCCCUCGGUCUGUGUGUCUGUCUCUCUCUCUCACUCACUGCCUCUACAGCACCAGGUGGCUUUUUUUCUGGGCACAAAGGUGUUUCGCUUAAUCCCAUUACGCUAGUGCUAAAUCUCACAACAUCAAAAUCACCCCCACCACCACUACCCUUCAUAGCUCUUUGCUUCUCCCACCCUCAGUUCGCUUUCCGUCCGCUCCCUUUCUGAGUGAUUGAAAAGGUGGCUUCACCUGAAUGGAGGGAGAGAUCUGCAGGCAGCUGCUGUUUUAGCAGUCGUCGUUACCAUUGCUGACUCACAGCGAUUGCCUGUCCUGAUCCAAUUUCGCCAUGCUGGGUGGCCCCUUAUUCCCUUGUCCAAUAAUGUGUCUGCUGGAAAAAAUCCCACUGCUCCAAAUCAAGUCUAAUCCUAGCUGGAGACCUCAUGUCAAUCUUGUUCUCCAAAAGGGAAAAAAACAAGACAAACCCAUACAUCUGGUCCCACCCUAGAUCUCUCUUUCUCUCCUUUCCUUUUGGCCUCUAGGGAUGGCUUUUAAGUCCCCCAUCUUCUCCAAAGAAUAGAGAAGGGAUCACGCAACAUGACCUACCAGAACCUUGAUAUCACAAUAUUGCCACCCUUGGGCAUUGGGACAUAGGUGCGGAUUAAGACUUUGCAUAAUAAGAUUACACGCUGACUGAAUGAUAUCAAGGGACAAUCCAUAUGUGGCAAGCUGUCUCUCUGUCGCCGGCUCAUUGGCGGGUGGUACAGCUUGUAGAGAGAGGUGCCUGGGAGAGCCGCUGGGAAUCAAAUGGGAUUCAGAUUGUAAAUAAGUUAGCCAUUUGCAGUCAUAGCUAUCAGCGACUGGAUCUCUCCUAGUUCCACAUUUAAAUGUGAGAGGUUAGAUCAGCUGUCCUUUGUGUGAUUACCACAACGACCUGCAAUGAUGCCCAAGUCUACUGGGACUUUCUACACUGAUUUGUAUCUUCUGAUCGCAGAUGUUUGACAAAGACCACUUGCUGGGUGAGUCUUCCCAUUCCCAGUGAGCAGUCAAAGCAAGUGAGAUGUUCUGAUUCUAUGACUUGAUUAUGUCUGUCAAAUACACUUCUUAAUGUCUUACUUUUGACUUCUUUUUCCACAUACGAAGAAAAGUCCAAAGUGGUCAAGAAAGCUGGUAGAAGUUUCUUUUGUCCACAGAAUACCUUGGAUGCCAUAGUUCAACAGUGACGGCCCCUGCUGAGAAACCCCUCUAUCCCAGGAGCUGCUUUUCUCUCAAGAAUCUCACCAUUAAUGGCCCCCAUUCCUGCAUCUUCAAAGCAGCAUUCCGAGAAAAUCCCUCACAUAAAAAGAUACCUCUCCUCAUGAGCUGAUGAUCCAGGGGUGUCGAGCAGUAGUUCCUGUCCCACUGUGUGCUGUGGGAAAUGGAUGUGUCUGUCGGCUGGAUGAGAUCAAUAAGCACAAGGCCACAACAUCGACCCGCUGCUCUCCUAAAUGACUCCAUGAGUCCUCGUCCGCUGUGCUGGGCAGUCCGGCACUGUGGGGAACUUAGGGAAACUGGAAAUACUUCAAGCCAGGGAGUCCCAAACAGAAAAAAAAACAUACCUGCUAGUAUUAAACAAUACUUUCCACACAGUGUAGCAAAUACAGACCACACUAUGAAUGAGGCCAAGUGCGUUGUCAGGUUGUCAAAAUGCUGGACAAAAAGGAAACUAUAGAAUGAAAUUAACUAGAUGCCAACAGAGGUUCAAGGUAGUUUAAAUAGGCUAAAUCUAAAACGGCAUCUAGUGUCCAGAGUCAGUUUCAUAUUGGUCAUUGGUAGUAACACAUGAUAUAUUGGUAAUAUUGGCAAUAUCAGUUGUGAUACAAGUGUUUUACAUUUACAAAUAUUAUUUUUCUUGUUUUUACAGUUACUUUUGCCAUAAGUAUAGUUUUUCUUUAAAUACACUAAUUUAAUAAUUUUCUAAUGUAAAUCUCAAAAUGAAUAUCCAUAUUUUCAUAUUUUGCAUUUUCAUAAUGUUUUACUUGUAGCAUUUAAAGCAAUGCUUUUUAGUGUUUUAUUUCAACAUAAUAUUAUAGAAGUUGGCUGUUUAUCCAUUAUCAACCUUAAUAUGAUAAUACUUAUCAGCAUCAGCCAGAAUUUAAAAUCAGUGCGUCCCUAGUCAUUGGUCAACUGUGAGCACCAUUGAACCAAUCUUCUUGCACCGUUGAAUUUAGUCAUUUUGUUCCAGUCUGGUCCCAGUUUUUCUAUACAUUACUGCAUUGCAGUCAUUUUGCAUUCUAUAUUCGUCCCUCAAAACAGAUCCUCCAUAGAGAGACCUGUUCCUUAGGCUGCUUAAUGAAAACAUAUCCGUUAUCAGUGUUAAUAACAGCAUUCCCAGUCAUAAUUGUAGCAUAUGAUCAGAAUAUGUGACACCUGCCUGUCCAAUAUCAAAGCUGCCUACCGCUUAUGCAAAUAUAACAAGAUAGUUCUGUUGAUCAAUCUAUGAGGCCCCACCAGUCAGACUUCCCAGGAGGUUUGUGUGACUGAUAGCAAUCACUGCCACACAAGCAUACGACAUUACAGACUCAAAUUAGCAAAGCGCAGGAGAGAGAAAGGGGAUUAGAGAGAUCCGCAGUCCCACCGGCCCAACUUACAAAUUAGAUAUGAUAAUCAAACAACACGAUCACAGUUGGAUUUGAUGACAGGGGUUUAGCGAAAUUUAACUUGUUACCCAUGGUUGCACGCUUUAAUUUGGAUUUUUUUUAUUUUUUUUGGAUGGUGGUGAUUACGGCUUCUUUGUUUGUCUUUCUUUUUGUAUUACUAAAUGUAAGUUGGAAGCGCUUACAGUGUCUUCUGGCUGCUUGACUUUAGAAGCAGCAAUAUUUUUGCAUUACUGUAUCCAUAUUUUUAACUGUAGAUUCUCAGUCAUUUUUUAUGCAUAUCAGCAUUUUUUUGCCAAGUAUUGUUGAUUUGCAGGGAAACCAUAUGUUUAAAAAGAUGACCUUUUUCAGUAACUACUGUCAGUUUGAUUAGUUCAGACUAAUUUAAAUUUUUAUCUUUCUUGAGUUUGUGUCUUUUUGAAUUAUUCAUUAAAAGGUCCAAUUAUCAAUUACUUCAUGAAUGAGGCUACGCUAGUUUUUUUUUUUUUGUUUUGUUUUGGGGUUUUUUAAGCAUUGACAAUAGUGAAAGAUUGGUCUUGGAAUUUUAUGAAUUGAUAUGGAGAGCAUUAAGAUUGUGAUUAAUUGGGGCAUAUUAUUUUUACUCAGCCCUAAUUCUAAAUACAUUUGUUAAUCUCUGGAACAUGAAAUGUAAAUGGAAACAAAAGCAAUCUUUUAUCUUUCUAAUUUAACCCAAUUCCUUCCCUCAGUUUUUAUUUCUCACUCCUCAGGCCUGUAAGUUGACCCCAUUCAGCAACUACUAUGGCUUUCCAAUUGCAUGAAAACAGCUGGCAUUCAAAUUGGAUUCCCAGUCUAAUUUCCUCUAAGGUAACACUCAUGUCUGUCCCAUCUGUCAACAGGUGAGAACCAGAGCUGAAGUUGAAUGCUCUGGUGGCUGCCUGCACAAACAGCUUAAUUCAAUAAGGUGAUGUCAGUGUCAGCCAAUGCUUAUCUACCAAAUUCACACAAGGCGUCUGGGAGUUUGAACAGUGCUGGUCUGAGCAAGGUGGGAAGCUGACACCUGCCUUUCCAAUCCCUUAAGAUAACAAUUGAUCUGACCCAAGGGAUUGCCUUUUUUGUCAAAUUAGACCUGACCAAUGUGAGUUUUUCCUGGAGAGUGUGACUUUUUUUCUCUCCCAAGAGAUGCAACAAGCGAAAGAGUCCAGUGCAACAGUGCAGAUGUUUGCCAUGAAGACUCAAGGAGCUUGAGAUGAGACAUGAAAAAAACACAGAUUAGAUCAAGAAAAUGUGACACCCCCCCACCCCAUUCUGGAUGAAAAGGGUCCUGCGAGAGAGGAGAGUACAGCCAACCACAUGGCAGGGCAGGCGCGGUGUCCUGGGCUGGGGCCGUAUGGAAGGUCAGGGGGGUUGGCAAAUAGCGGCAGCCAGGAUUCUGAAGGAAACAGUGGGAGAAUGGGGCGGCUUGAGCCCGCUGGUCACCAGCCAACACACCCAACCUCGAGAGUUUGCUUUCCUCGACUCAGUCUCAAAGCUCUCCAUGCCAAACGGUAUGCAGAAUGGCUCAAUGUAGUUAUCUGGUUAGCGUAGUAAUGUAGAUGUUGCUGACAUCGCCCAUUCUGAGCUUAGUUAUGAGAAGUAUAACUGGCAUCAACAGGGCUUAUUGUGACUGCAUAAUACAGUCUUAAUCUUAAAAAUGAAGUGUUCACUGAACACUUCUUAAAAGAACCAUCAUAUUCAUCAUAUUUUAAUGAACUAAAGAACCUUUUUCCACUAUAAAGAACUUUUUUUUUUUAAAUGGAAAUGUUCUAUGGAUUUAAAGACUCUUUAAAGAACCAUCAAUGCCAAUAAAUAACCUGUAUUUUUAAGAGUGCUUUUCAUUUAUUAUAUGACUGUGUUCCAAAUAAUCAAUGUACACAAACAUAUUUGUUUUAGUUUAAGUAUUGUAUACGAGAAGA